AUUUUAAUCAUAGAAUUUUUACUUAAUCAAUAAUCUCAUUAAAAUCCUCAAUAAUGUCACACUAAGCCCUUCACAAUCUUUUCUUCAUCACUUUUCUUUUCAAGAUUGAUAACUAAAAUUAGGCUAAUUAAAGGUACACAAAGUUAAAGAACAAAAUAUAUGAUUGAUGAAUCUAGAUCACAACCCCUUCAAACCUUCAACCUUUUUUCUUGUUUGAAUGGGUGUACAUCAUUCAACUUCAACUUCACUUCUAAAAUCCACCAUAAGCUUGUUAAGCUUCUUGUUGCUUAUCCUUUGUUGAUAAACUCUUGUAUCCUCCAAACUGUAUUCAAAAAGCAAAAUAAAAUAAAAUAAAUAAAUAUAGAAAUAUAGAAAGAUAUAUAUAUAUAUAUCUAAAAUUAAUGUCACUUAUUUUAACCCUUAUAUAUAAAGAUUAAAUAGUUUAAAAGAUAUGUGAUUUUUUCCCUAAUUUUAAAUAUAUUUAUUUAUUUAUUUAUUAUAAUAAAGAAAAAAAAGAGAAAGUAAUUCUUGGAUUUUUUUCUUAUAUAUAUAUAUAUAUAUAUAUAUAUAUAUAUAUAUAUAUAUAUAUAUAUAUAUAUAUUUUGAAACCAUAGCAAAAGAGAAAUUGAUACGAUGACAUGCAAUAUAAUUUUUAUAUUAAUACGAUGAUUAGAUACUUUUCAAAGUGUUUUUAAAUCAAUAUAUAUCCCCAUAUAUCAUAAAUCUAUAAGCCUAUACCCACUUUGGGAAUAUAGAUAAGAUCAACCAUUCAUGAGGGACAAUAUGUAGGCUUUUUUUAAAGCACAUCUAUUAAGAGAAGUACUUUGUUUGAAAAGAUACUAUCAACUAACAUUCAUCAGAUUUUUUUAAAAAUGAUUUAAAUUAGAAGAAAUGGUUUCUCCCACCUUUUUUAUUUUUAAUUUUUGGUCUUUUUUUCUUGAAUUGAAGUGACCAUACAUGUAGAUAUAAAUUGGAGCUUAGGACAAUCAUGAUGCUUGAUUUCAUUUCUAGAAUUAAUAGGUGCAUGAAUUGGGAUUGAAAAUGGACAUGGAUAUUAAAUUUGAGUUUGGAAUCAUCCUAGUAAGGAAAGAGUAUAUGCCAAACUAAUAUGAAUAUUUUAAAAAAAUGUAGUAGUAAGAAUUUGGCUUGGAAAUGGAUUUAGGUGGGUAGAGUUUUGAUGGUGACAGCUAGAGAAGACUAUUCCCAAACCAUAUGCCAAUAAGCAAUUUUAGUUGAUAUGCUUUAUUUCUUUGUAAAUUAUUUUUUAGGAUUUUAUUAUAACAUCCAAAGGAAUUUUUUUUAUAGGUAUAACAAUCAAGUGAUUCUCAGGUUAUUGGCAAUAAUGCUUUGAGGGUUAUUUUUAUAAAGCUAAAAAAAUGUUAGGGUCGGUUUGGUUCUCUUUUCAAAAACUGUUUUCUAUUUUAGAAAACAAAAAACAUAAAAAACUUGUUUGGGAAGAGAGUGUGUUUUUGUUUUUUGUAUUUUCUGUAUUCUCAAAAACCAUUUUUUUGAUAAUAAUAAAAAGACGUUUUCAUUGUUUUUUCAUUGUUCAAAUAAUAGAUUGUUUUUCGUAUUUUCUCUUUCUUCUUUUUGUAUUUUCUUAGCUGUUUUUUUGUAUUUUCACAAAGGUGAGCUCCACCCAACCACCACACCCUCAACCGCAAACCCUUUCUUCUUCCUUAAAUUAUUGAAAUCAAUAUAUUUAUACAUGAUGACAAAAUCAUCAUUUGUUUAAAAAAAUUAUAAAUUGUGUAAAAAUUUCAAAAUGGAAUAAUUUUUUAAAUUUAAAUAAAUUGUGCAUAUGAAAAUUAUUUACAUAUUUAUAAUAUCAAGUUAAUGGAAAAAAAACACUUUAUUAAUUAAAAAAAACUUUCAAACAUGUUUUUUUUUGUUUUUGAGAACAAAAAUUGUUUCCCAAACACAAUUUUUUUUUUUUUCUGAAAACAUAAAAAAAUUGUUCUUAAAAACUAUUUUCAAAAACUAUUUUUUAUAAUAGUUUUCAAAAACGGCAACCAAACAGACCCUUAGUGACUUAUUUUUAAAAAUCUUAGAAACAAUUAGGUUAUGUCUGGUUGAUAGAAGAUAUUGGGGGACAAUGAAAAGGAAAGCAGGGAAAAAGUUAAAAAAUAAUAAUAAUAUAAAAAAGAAAUGAAAUGAAAAUAAAUUUAAAAUUAAUAAAUUAAUAAUUAUAUUUAUUUAUUUUUAAUAUUUUUAUAAUGUACAAACCAAAUAUAAAAAAAAAAAAUCAUUUUUUUAUUAGUAGUCUUUUGGAGCUAAAUCUAACUUAAAAAUGUUAUUAUUGGCAAUCUUUUUUCUUUUUCUUUUUUUAAAUGAAAAUUCUAUUGAGUUAUGAAGCUCACGACUACAUAUUAUACAAGGGGACAAAGUCACAUCAUCACCUCUCUACUCCAAGAUAAAAUUCAUAUUAAGUUUCAUUUAUACUAACUUGGGAAUUUGUGUUUUUUUUUUAAUUUAAGAAAAACAAUAAAAAAAAUAAAGCUUUAAUGAAUAGCUUCCAACAAAAGAUAUAAUUAGAAAAUAAGUGGUUGUCCUUAUUCAUCCUUAAAAAAAAAACACAAAAAACAAAAAACAAAACCCUUCUAACAAAAGAUAUAAUUGAUAUAGUUGAAAAAUAAGUGGUUGUCAUUGUUCCAACAAAAGAUAUUAUUGGGAAAUAAGUGGUUAUUUUUAUUUGUCCUUGUUAAAAAAUGAAAAGAAAAAGAAGGCUUACUAAAAAAAUAAAAAAAGAAGAGGAAGAAGAAGAACAUUAAUUAAUAAUUUUAAUCAUAGAACUUUUACUUGAUCAAUAAUCUCAUUAAAAUCCUCAAUAAUGUCUCACUAAGCCAUUUACACUUCACAAUCUUUUCUUCAUCACUUUUCUUUUCAAGAUUGAUAACUAAAAUUAGGCUAAUUAAAGGUACACAAAGUUAAAGAAAAAAAUAUAUGAUUGACGAAUCUAGAUCACAACCCCUUCAAACCUUCAACCUUUGUUCUUGUUUGAAUGGGUAUACAUCAUUCAACUUCGACUUCACUUCUAAAAUCCACCAUAAGCUUGUUAAGCUUCUUGUUGCUUAUCCUUUGUUGAUAAACUCUUGUAUCCUCCAAACUGUAUUCAAAAAGCAAAAUAAAAUAAAAUAAAUAAAUAUAGAAAUAUAGAAAGAUAUAUAUAUAUAUAAAAAGAGAAAAUAAAUAAAAUAAAUAAAAAAUAAAGAUAAAAAAUACAUCUAAAUUAAUAAAUUAAUUUUAUAAACUCAUUCAACCUGAUGUCACUUAUUUUAACCCUCAUAUAUAAAGAUUAAUUAGUUUAAAAAAUAUAUGAAUUUUUACCUAAUUUAAAAUUUAUUUAUUUAUUUAUUAUAAUAAUUUAAAAAAAAAAAAGAGAGAGAAAGUAAUUCUUACCUUUAUAUAUAUAUAUAUAUAUAUUUUAUUUUUAUUUUUUAUUUUAUUUUUUUUUGAAACCAAGAAUAGCAGAAGUGAAAUUGAUACGAUGACAUGCAAUAUAAUUUUUAUAUGAAUACGAUGAUGAGAUACUUAGAUGGUUAGAUUACGGACCUUUGAGGAGGAGGGGUUGAUUGAGAAGGAGGUAGAAGCAUGUUGGCAAGGUGAAUGGCAUCUUGGUUAGAAUUGAUGACAUGGUUGAAGCAGAGGUAGCGGCCAUAGGAGGAAGAAUCUUCAAAAACAGAGAUGUGGGCAUCAACCAAGAAGUUGAGAUCCACAGUCACAAACACUCCAUCUUCGAACAUCUCAGCAGCUCCUUUCAAGUAGGGGUUGGAGAUGGUGAGAUGGUCUGCCAUGAGCAGCCCUCCAUUUAUAGACACCAUGUUCACUCCCCUGUCCAUCGCUAGUGCCCAUGCUGUCCUCUCUGCUAGUGUCUUUGAUACCCCAUGCCAUAGCUGCAAAAAUAUUCCACCAUUGUUGGGAAAAGAUUAAUGGUCGUUUUACACACACAAGUGAGGGAAAAAAAAAAAAAGAGAGAGAGAGGAGGGAAGAAUUAAAAAUACCUUGAAUUUUCUACAAAAGUUAACGUCGCUCCAGUUUCUCUCGUCAAGAUCUGACGGCGUGGAGUUACGGUCGUCUCUCCAGAUAACGGCCGUGAUGGAGGAUGUGAAAACGACCUUCUCUAUCGUGUCCGUCUGUGCGCACGCUUCGAGUACAUUGUGUGCUGCCCUCACCUCCACGUCGGCCAUAUAUUCCUACAACCAAACACCCCCAAAUAUUUAAUGUUUUCUGCUAUUAGGCCAAUCCACGUCCAAUGACCAAAAUAACCUUUGGUUUGAAUGAAGAUCAUUUCCUUUAGCACGAAAAGAUCAAAAUUUAAGAGGGUAAUAUGGUCCUUAUAUAUAUAUAUAUAAUCCAACUUCACAAUGAUAAAAUCUUUAAAAGAUUAAAAUAAAAUUAAUAUUUCAAAAUUAAGCAUACAAAUCUUUGAAAAAUAUAAUAUUAGAAAUUUAUUAUUGGGUAAGGAAAUUGAAGCAUACAUCAUAAUUGGGAUGAUCAGAAGGCGGCUCAAAGGAGUAGAACAGGGCAGAGCAGCCUUUCAAGGCGUCCAUGAUGCUGUGAUAAUCCAAGGGGUCUGCUGGAAAAACCCUCAAUUUCUUCUUAUUGCAACAUACCCCUUCCACUAUUUCAUAUUCACCUGGAAAACCCACCAUAAAUAAAUAUAUAAAUUUUUUGUCAGAGAAAUUAAAACCGAGGACAAAAUGGUCAAACCAAUUAGAUUUGUAGGUGACUGGCUCUUCAGCCAGAUCGUUUAACUGCCAAGCACGUAUGGUGACAUUGAAAUAUUAAAUUAAUUUACUAAAUCAUUUUCGAAAAAAAAUUAAUUUAUUGAAUUUUAAUUUUUUUUAAAUAAGUAAUAAUAAAUGAAAUGAAAUAAAGAAAGUUUGGAAGGAAAAAAAAUUAUCCAGAAGAAAAGAAACAUAGAGGCAUCUGCGAGGUGGGUCGGACAUUAAUAUGAAAUAAAUAUAAAAAAAUAAAAAAUAAAAUAAAAAAAAUAACAGGCUGGAUCAAAAAAGCAACCAGGUGGAAAUAUCCUGUCUCCAUAAAUCUCAAACAAAAAUUCAAAAAAUCAGAAAAAAAAAAAAAAAAUUGGAUGGAGGAGAAAAAUGAUGAAAAAGAGGAAGAAGAAGAAUCGGACCGUGGAGAGCGGCGUGGACAGUGUAGCCGCGGCGGAGGAGCCUCCGCACGAGCGCGGAGCCGACUCGGCCGGAGGCGUCCAUUACGCAGACCGUCUUCUCUGAGAUGACCUCGUCCGGCAACGACGAAGGCGCCAUGGAAGCUGAUGAAUAUCGAGAAAAGAAAAAAAAAAAAAAAAAAACUUCGUUGCAGAGCUCGGAAGAAUUGAAUAUUGAAGAAGAAGAAGACGACGACGACUUCCUCUAUCUUCAAUCUACAAAUGUGAUUCUCCGUUCGUGUAUUUCUUAUAUAGAGAGAGAUUAGAGAGAGAGGAGUGCAUUGAAGAGAGUGCGGUGAGAGUAGGUGGCGGUUAAGGCAGAAAAGGAAGAUAGACAACGGCGCUUUUUCUUCUAUUUAUUAUGUUAUAACUAUUUUACUUCCAUUUUAUGCUUUUUAUUUUUAUUUAUUUUUAUAUUUUUAAAAAUUUUAAAUUAUCUUUUCCUUAAUUUUUUUUAUUGAAAAAAUGGAAAUUAAUAACUGGUUUUAAGAAAUAACCUGGAUGAGCUGAGAAAAUUUAUAUAUUAUAUUUGAAGAAUAUUUAUUAAAUAUCUUUAUUUUUAUGGUAAUUGCCAUUUAUGGAGAGAGAGAAAAGAGGGUGGGACUAGGUCCAAGGUCAAACGACAGCUCGUGUACUAAGGAGUAGAUGAAAGUGGUAGGUGGGCCAAUUAAUUGAGAACUUAAAUGGGCCAACCAGCUGACUUCAGCUAAGCCCAUUUGGAUUUUUGGAGCUCAAAUUGGACCUGGCCCAAUCCUAGCCGAUGAUUCUCAAACCUGGCCCAUUUCAUCCUCCAAUGAUAAAUAAUUUGAUUCUAUAAUAAAAUUUAUAUUUUGAUUGAAAAAACAAAUUUGUUGUCUAGUAGUCGUAAUUUACAUUUGCUUUCUUUGGGCCAUAAUAUUUUUUUCCUUCUUUUAUGUGUUUUUAAUUAAAGUUGGAGUGGAUCGACCUAAUGGAGUAAUUCAAUGGAUGCCAACUGCUUUCUUCUCGUACACCAGCACCAGCUGUUGAAAGCGAUGAACAACGAUGCGCCCUAUUUGACUUUGCUUGUGGACACUUCUUCAUCCCCACUUGCACCUGCAAUUACUCUCAGCUCUAGUCUCAAGUCAUAGAAUCCUAGAGGCUUCGGUUUUUAUUUUUUUUCUCUCUCAUUUGUUACUAUGAUUAAUUGUUAUUGUACGAGGAUGCGAAAGGCUUUGACCAUGGAAAUUGAUUUAAAUAAAUGUAUAUUACCUUUACGAAAAAUCAAAUAUACUCUUACUCAUAUUUUUUGUUUGAUAAACUUGGGUGUCCGGGCCGCUUAUGUGCACCUUGACUAAUCCCAUAAGACCCUGAAGUUAACGACCGAGUAAAUCCUCCUGAUGGCCCUGAAGAGACUCGAACUGGUGACCAUUAGAGAGCAAAUCCAGGACCAGACCAACUGAAAAUAUAUUGUUACUCAUAUUUGAGUUCUCAAACAUAAUUUUAUUCCCAAAAAUGAUCAAAAAUAUUAGUCAAACAGACCCUAAGACCCUAAUUUACCCGAUGCUUCUCAAGCAAGAUCUAAACGACAUAAUCUAAUGAGCUAUACUCCAUGUUAUGACUUUUGGGGCUACUGAACAGUAGUAAGCAAUCAGUUGGUUUCACAAGAUUGUGAUACUACUUUCCUAAAUUUUCCAAUAUUUACAAGAAUAUAAUUCUGAAAAAGUAGUCAGAACUAAUUUGAAAAGGAAACAAAAGGAAAAUGCAUCAAAUAAGACAUGGGGAGACAAGUAACUGAAGAAAAAAUACAUGGGUUAUUAACUUAUUUCAGUCUCUGGUACUUCCCUCCAGACAUUAUGAGAGCAGAAGCAAAAAUCAUACAAAUGUCUUCCAACUAUAAUUUCAUGAGGUAGGCUCUAAUUUACCCUCUGGAAGAAAAACAGGAGUCACAAUGGCAUACCUAUCUCACAAUCUCAGAACAAGAAUUCCUCUGGUAAUUCUUUAAACUUGCCCGAUAAGAAGCUCUUGUACUUGCCUUCGAGGUCUCCACCUGCAAGGAUGGUGAUUUGGUAGAUUUAGUAAGUAAUGUUUAUCUCCAACAACUAGAAAGAGCAGGGGAAGAAAUGGGAUAAUGAAGCUACCUUUGGGUUCAAAAGGGGGUACGUUCUUUGUUAGAGUUGAUUGCACCAGCUUAACAAAGUCCUUGCCUAGAAAUCACAAAAUGAAAUUAGCAUAACAAAAAUGGUUUAGUUCCUUUGAGAUGGAUUGAUAAAGCAGUACUGAAAAACAUUAGUUUCUGCAACUUAAUAGAGAGGUAAAGAUAAUUAUCAUUGAAGGAUGACCUCAGGAUAUGCCAUUGAAAGUUGGCGGCAGCAAUAAAUAACUAAAAAUAGGAACAAAACUACAAUUUACAAAUCACUAAAAUGGAAUAAUUGCUCUUGGUGACAAAUGCCUACCCUGAGUCCUCCAACCAUCUUUUCUUGUAUACCACAGGACAAAGCAAGAAGAAAAAGGUUGUUUGUGCAUCAAUAAAUCCUUUGUAUUAUAUGACAAAAGAUACCAGUCUCAACAUGAAAAAGAAGAAUCCAGCAAUAAUAUACCCAAACAUGGUUGGACAUAGCAAUCAAUCAAAAGAAGCAAACAAGGGCAUAUUUUUUGUUUAUAGUACAUGGACUGAUGAAGGGUCAUGAGAGUAUAAUUUUAUCCAUUCAACAAACUGGUUUCCUUCCAACAAUAGACAUGCAUAUGGUUAUAAAGAGGUUCACUUAAGAAAUCUAAUAAAACAACCAACUCCCAUCAACGAGAAAUUUUGAUUGUGAUUUUUAUUUUUUGUUCCCUUACCAGUUGUGAGCUUUUCUCUUUCAUUUACAUUGAUUAGGAAUGAUGGAAUCUGGUCAUCUUUCAACUGCAUUAGAAAGGUAAAUGUCACAUCAGGAAAGAGUGACUAGAAGUAACAAUGAUUAAUUUAAAUACAAUAUAUGCGGGUAUCAAAUGAACGAGUAGGUUUUCACAUUUGACCUUGGAUAGAACAGCCUUUGCAAGCUCCAGUGGAUUGGCAGAUGAUGGACUCUUACUAUAUGCAGGAACAAACUUGCCAUUGUGAUAGCCGGCCAGGAAGUGAUAUGCUGCUUGCCCAGGAGAGAGCUUCGAGAUAGAAGGGAUUACUCCAGAGCUGCUUCAAC
rnacentral:lncRNA from 1 species